rnacentral:lncRNA from 1 species
GGCCGUUAGUUUUCUCGUUUGAAUUGUUUUACAUUGUUAUAUCGGGGCCUUUUAUAGCUGUCUAUGUUGUAUGGGCUUUGCUCAUUGUUGAAGGCCGUACGGUUAUCUAUAAAUGUUAAUUUCUGUGUCAUUUUGGUCUCUUGGGGACAGCUGUCUCAUUGGCAAUCAUACCACAUCUUCUUUUUUAUUAUAGAUCCAACGCUGCAAUUUUCACAAAACAUAUCAAAUUUUCCACCUUGUCGCAC